rnacentral:rRNA from 1 species
UACGGAGGGGGCGAGCGUUAUUCGGAAUUAUUGGGCGUAAAGGGCGCGUAGGCGGCCCCUUAAGUCAAAGGUGAAAUCCCUCGGCUCAACUGAGGAACUGCCUUUGAAACUGAUGGGCUUGAGGCCGGGAGGGGGUAGCGGAAUUCCCAGUGUAGCGGUGAAAUGCGUAGAGAUCAGGAAGAACAUCGGUGGCGAAGGCGCUCUGCUGGACCAUAACUGACACUCAGGGACGAAAGCUAGGGGAGCGAAUGGG